rnacentral:tRNA from 1 species
AGCUAUAUAGCUCAAUGGUUAGAGUAGUGGUCUCAUAAUCCAAAGAUGAAGGUUCGAUUCCUUCUAUAGCU